AGUGUCAUCGUGUACAAGGUCCACUCCUGACUCUGAUUAACAGUAACUGCAGAAUCAGAGUCCUGCAGUGAUGUGUGAACUCUACCCCACACGGAGCAGAGGGAUGACCACUUCCCUGUGUGCACUCGCUGGUCUCUGUCAUGUUGAAGAUGCAGCAAAUCCCUUGUCACACUGAGAGGUAAACAACUCCUACCCAGUGUGAACCCUCUGGUGUAUCAGCAGGAGGGAUGAAUCACUGAAACCCUUUUCACACACUGAGCAUCUGAAUGGCCUUUCCCCAGAGUGGGCUCACUGGGGUCUCAGCAGAUCAGAAGACUGGGCGAAUCCUUUCCCACACAUGGAGCAGGUGAAUGGCCUCUCCCCGGUGGGAACGCACUGAUGUCUCUGCAGGAGAGAGAUUUGAAUGAAUCCUUUCUAACACAUGGAGCAGGUGAAGAGUCUAAAUCCUCUGUGACCUCUCUGGUGCCUCAGCAGAUUGCAAGAGUGAGUAAAUCCCUUCCCAUACAUGGGGCAGGUGACCAGCCUCUUCCCAGUGUGACUGUGUCAGUGAGUGUCCCGCUGGGAGGGGUAAGUGAAUUCCUUCCCACAAUCCCCACAUUUACACAACCUUGCCCUGGUCCUAUCACAUUGGUGUCUUCCCAAAUCACAUGACCAGUUAAAUCCUCAACCACAUGCACAACACGAAUGGUUUCUCUGGGCUGGGAAUGCUGCUUUCCCCUUCCGUAUUAUGUAUAAUGUUCAGGACCUGCGGAAUUGGGUGUGUUAAAUGUGAUGUUAAAGCUGAGUUUCCCAUCUGUGAACUCUCUCUGUAAAACAAAUUUAUCUCCUUCAUUACUACAGCUCCCAACACCAGCUCUCCCUUUAGUUCUCCUGAAAUUCUAAAUUUGGACUAAUGCAAUAAUGUGGCUUUCUCUCACUUGUUUCUGAAAGUAAAUUAGGAUGAUUUUGAAUAACUGGACUUUACUAGCCAAACUCGUUCCUACUCUAUCAUAUACGACCUUUAACCCAUGGGAAAUGUGUUACCAGCUUCGAUGACCGUUAUAAUGUUCUGACCACUUCUAUGGAGUCGGUAUAAGUUGAUUCUAACAAUUAUCAAUAGAUCGUAUAUAAACAGGAUGCCCACACAACAGUGUGCGCUCUGACACUCAAUGCCUGUAAGUUGUUAUUUUUCUUAAAGCCCCACAUGUGUCUGGCAAUCUGGCAAUACAAUUGAAGAUAGUUUAUACAGUAACCUUACAGUCUUAGUUGCCAAUUCCAAUCCAUGAAGCAGUCAGUAACAUUCCCCAGUGAAUUGAAUUCUAUUAGCAGCUUUGUCCUGUCAGGAGAGAUUGAGGAUCAUGAAGCUGUCUUCUCUGGAGGACUGAAAUAUGAAACACUUGAAAUGAACAAAAUUCUUCAAGAGCUCAAUAGGAUAGAUAUAGGACGAUGUGCACCCUGGCUGAUAUGUCUUGAAUGAAAUAAGCACUAACUGCGGUGUCUUUACACAGCAUCCCUUUAGCUGCAUAAAUGUUCAAGAUUUAUUUGCUGCUCUAAUUCCACUCUCUUAUUGAAUCCCAUUUGUAACUGCUGGAAUGUUGGUUGCCGUGCAAAUUGGUAACAUUUGAUUCAAUCUAUCCUAAAACCUCUCUGUAUCUGUGUCUCGCUUUUGUUCACCAAGACCCUCAUUCAAUCUGACCUCUUUACAAACCCUGCCCUGAUAUUUCCCUAGAGGGCUCAGAAUUAAAUGUCCACAGAAUUGUUACUGCACAAAAGGAGGCUGAUUGGCUCAUCAGCUCUCCAAAGGAUCACCUCACCGAAUGCUAUUUUUCUACCUUUACCCCAU